GCAGCGGGAGGUGCUUGCACCUCGCCGGCGAGCGGCGGACGGGUGAGUAAUGCAUAGGAAUCUGCCCGGUAGUGGGGGAUAACCUGGGGAAACCCAGGCUAAUACCGCAUACGUCCUACGGGAGAAAGCAGGGGAUCUUCGGACCUUGCGCUAUCGGAUGAGCCUAUGCCGGAUUAGCUGGUUGGUAGGGUAAUGGCCUACCAAGGCAACGAUCCGUAGCUGGUCUGAGAGGAUGAUCAGCCACACUGGGACUGAGACACGGCCCAGACUCCUACGGGAGGCAGCAGUGGGGAAUAUUGGACAAUGGGCGAAAGCCUGAUCCAGCCAUGCCGCGUGUGUGAAGAAGGCUUUCGGGUUGUAAAGCACUUUCAGUGGGGAAGAAAGCCUGUCGGUUAAUACCCGACAGGAACGACAUCACCCACAGAAGAAGCACCGGCUAACUCCGUGCCAGCAGCCGCGGUAAUACGGAGGGUGCGAGCGUUAAUCGGAAUUACUGGGCGUAAAGCGCGCGUAGGCGGCGUGAUAAGCCGGUUGUGAAAGCCCCGGGCUCAACCUGGGAACGGCAUCCGGAACUGUCGCGCUAGAGUGCAGGAGAGGAAGGUAGAAUUCCCGGUGUAGCGGUGAAAUGCGUAGAGAUCGGGAGGAAUACCAGUGGCGAAGGCGGCCUUCUGGACUGACACUGACGCUGAGG
rnacentral:rRNA from 1 species